UGCACCUGUAGUUUGAUUAUGCUGCAGUUUGAUUAUGACACAUUACAUGAGGUCAGGUGUGGAAUUUUCCACUUCUGGGGUCAAAUUGGUGCUCAAAAGUUUUGGAGUUUGAGCAUUUUGGAAUUCAGAUGUUUAGAUUCGGAAUGCACAACUUGUGCUGUAAUGAUGAUUUCUAAAUUAUUUAUAACUCUAGUAUAAAGGUUAAAAAACAAAGAAUAUUAAAAGUCAUUGUUGAGAGACAAAAUGAGAUCAUGUCUGGGAAAAUACUUCUAAAUUAUCAACUCCCUUUCUAUGGAAGAGGAUGACCAAAGAAGGAUGCACUCCUUGUCUGGAAUUAUGCCAGAGGUCUUAAAAUGCUCAGAAAUGAAAUCAGCCUUCUUCCCUGUCCUAAGAGGCUCAGGUUUUCGGCAAGUAACUCAUAAAAUUAAUGCUCCACUGAAAAUAAAAUCUGAUUUGAGUAGUAUCAGCACUUAGAAGACCUUUGGAGGCCGGGGGUAUUUUCUCUUUUACAAUGCUGUGAACAACAUUCACUCCUGGAAAACACUCCAAUGUCUUACAUCUUGAGGCUGUGGGGAUUUUUUUUUCUUUUGGUUUAAAUGUUGCCUUUCCUAUCUUUCUGCAUAUCAAUUUUUCCCCUGCCCAAGUCACAGGCUUGGUAGUAACCAUCAUGUUUACUGCUGUUCCUUCACAUGUGGUUCUCUGAGGCUUCUGAGCACCAGAAUUUUAUUAAACAGAGCUACUCACACCAUAAAGAUGGAAUUCUGCCAGAUCUGAAUCAUAGAAUAACACCAGAAUUGACUUCAGAAAUCAUCUUCUCUAAAGAUUUGCAAGAUUUUUAAACAGCACAUGCCUUUGUAAAAUGAAAUCAUCAGUGGAACACCGUAUAUAAAAUAAAAUUAAUAAAAACUACUAUGGCUGGAGAGGUGAAACUCUAACAUAUUACACAGUCUCCUGGGUUUUUUUGCAGAUAUUAAGGAUCCACUGAACCAUUUGAAAACUACCCUAUAUACUCCCCCUUUCCAGUGCUUCAGUCCCUUCUAUAGUAAUCACCACUGGAUUGUUCAGUCUUUCAAUAUUUUCAGUGGUGCCUAUCCUCCCAAGAAAGGCCAUCUUAAU
rnacentral:lncRNA from 1 species